AACGAACGCUGGCGGCAGGCUUAACACAUGCAAGUCGAACGCCCCGCAAGGGGAGUGGCAGACGGGUGAGUAACGCGUGGGAACGUACCUUUCAGUUCGGAAUAAACUCAGGGAAACUUGUGCUAAUACCGGAUACGCCCGCAAGGGGAAGAUUUAUCGCUGAAAGAUCGGCCCGCGUUGGAUUAGCUAGUUGGUGGGUAAAGGCCUACCAAGGCGACGAUCCAUAGCUGGUCUGAGAGGAUGAUCAGCCACACUGGGACUGAGACACGGCCCAGACUCCUACGGGGGCAGCAGUAGGGAAUUUCGGCAAUGGGCGAAAGCCUGACCGAGCGACGCCGCGUGAGGGACGAAGGCCUUCGGGUUGUAAACCUCUGUCUGGGGGGAUGAGAACGGACGGUACCCCGGAGGAAGCCCCGGCUAACUACGUG
rnacentral:rRNA from 1 species